rnacentral:rRNA from 1 species
CCUUUACUGCAGCUUCGCAGUGGCGCCAGGAAGGGACUGUGUAGGAUAGGUGGGAGGCUUUGAAGCCGGGGCGCUAGCUUUGGUGGAGCCAACCUUGAAAUACCACCCUGUGCCUUUCUGGCGUCUAACCGAACCCCGUUAUCCGGGGUCGGGACCCUGCGUGGUGGGCAGUUUGACUGGGGCGGUCGCCUCCCAAAAGUGUAACGGAGGCGCGCAGAUGGUUGCCUCAGGCUGGAUCGGACAUCAGGCUGUAUGAGUGCAAAGGCACAAGGCCGCCUUGACUGCGAAGACGCUACAGCGUCGAGCAGGAGACGAAAGCUCGGCCUUAGUGAUCCGGUCGGUACCCGUGUGGAAGGGCCGUCGCUCAACGGAUAAAAGGUUA